rnacentral:rRNA from 1 species
CCUACGGGAGGUAGCAGUGGGGAAUAUUGCACAAUGGGGGAAACCCUGAUGCAGCGACGCCGCGUGAGUGAAGAAGUAUUUCGGUAUGUAAAGCUCUAUCAGCAGGGAAGAAAAUGACGGUACCUGACUAAGCAGCCCCGGCUAACUACGUUCCAGCAGCCGCGGUCAUACGUAGGGGGCAAGCGUUAUCCGGAUUUACUGGGUGUAAAGGGAGCGUAGACGGUGAUGCAAGUCAGAAGGGAAAGCCCGGGGCUCAACUCCGGGACUGCUUUUGAAACUGUGUAACUGGAGUGCAGGAGAGGUAAGCGGAAUUCCAGGUGUAGGAGUGAAAUCCGGAGAAAUCUGGAGGAACAUCAGUGGCGAAGGCGACUAGCUGGCACAUAACUGACGCUGAGGAGCGAAAGCGUGGGUAGCAAACAGGAUUAGAUACCCUGGUAGUC